rnacentral:tRNA from 2 species
AGACCCGUAGCUCAGUUGGUUAGAGCGCUCAACUUAUAAUUGAGAGGUGGUUGGUUCGAGUCCAACGGGGUCUA